rnacentral:rRNA from 1 species
AUUGAACGGCGGCGGAAUGCUUUACACAUGCAAGUCGAACGGCAGCACGGAGAGCUUGCUCUCUGGUGGCGAGUGGCGAACGGGUGAGUAAUAUAUCGGAACGUGUCCAAUAAUGGGGGAUAACGAGUCGAAAGAUUCGCUAAUACCGCAUACGCCCUACGGGGGAAAGCAGGGGAUCGUAAGACCUUGCGUUAAUGGAGCGGCCGAUAUCUGAUUAGCUUGUUGGUGAGGUAAAGGCUCACCAAGGCGACGAUCAGUAGCUGGUUUGAGAGAACGACCAGCCACACUGGAACUGAGACACGGUCCAGACUCCUACGGGAGGCAGCAGUGGGGAAUUUUGGACAAUGGGGGCAACCCUGAUCCAGCCAUUCCGCGUGAGUGAAGAAGGCCUUCGGGUUGUAAAGCUCUUUCGCGAGGGAAGAAAACUUAUGAUCGAAUAAAUCAUGAGGUUGACGGUACCUUGAUAAGAAGCACCGGCUAACUACGUGCCAGCAGCCGCGGUAAUACGUAGGGUGCGAGCGUUAAUCGGAAUUACUGGGCGUAAAGCGUGCGCAGGCGGUUUUGUAAGUCGGAUGUGAAAUCCCCGGGCUCAACCUGGGAACUGCGUUCGAAACUGCAAGGCUAGAGUGUGUCAGAGGGGGGUAGAAUUCCACGUGUAGCAGUGAAAUGCGUAGAGAUGUGGAGGAAUACCAAUGGCGAAGGCAGCCCCCUGGGAUAACAC